GGGGAGAUGGCUCAGUGGAAGAGUGCUUGCCUUGCAUGCAUGAGGCCCUGGGUUCAAUUCCUCAGCACCA
rnacentral:tRNA from 1 species